rnacentral:lncRNA from 1 species
AUGCAAUUUUCUCUGCCUGUCCAUGUAUUGAGGCUACUGAGAACUAACCACAUGGACCUUGGAUGCUGGGCCUUACUCUUUCUUCCAGAGUCAUUGAACUCCAAUGACAAGACAAAAAUCAACAUGACUGCAGAUGGCCUGGGACACAAGAUACUUUCCACCAAUACAUCAUAUCUUCUUGUCUGGUAUGAUCCUACUCUGUGUUCUCCCAUAAUUCAACAAUCGUGAAGAUACAGUGACAGAAGUGAGGCAGUCCUUAUUCUUGAGGAGCAUACAUUCUAUCAGGGAGUGGCAACAUCUUCACAACUGAGCUAAUACAGGAGUAUCCAAAAUAAAUCUACAAUGAUGGUUGGAGAAUGGAACA